UACGGGGGGGGCAAGCGUUGUUCGGAAUUACUGGGCGUAAAGGGCUCGUAGGCGGCCAACUAAGUCGGAUGUGAAAUCCCCAGGCUUAACCUGGGAACUGCAUCCGAUACUGGAUGGCUUGAAUCCGGGAGAGGGAUGCAGAACUCCAGGUGUAGCGGUGAAAUGCGUAGAUAUCAGGAGGAACACCGGUGGUGUAGACGGCUCACUGGACCGUAACUGACGCUGAGACACGAAAGCGUGGGUAGCAAACAGG
rnacentral:rRNA from 1 species